rnacentral:rRNA from 1 species
AACGAACGCUGGCGGCAGGCUUAACACAUGCAAGUCGAACGCCCCGCAAGGGGAGUGGCAGACGGGUGAGUAACGCGUGGGAACAUACCCUUUCCUGCGGAAUAGCUCCGGGAAACUGGAAUUAAUACCGCAUACGCCCUACGGGGGAAAGAUUUAUCGGGGAAGGAUUGGCCCGCGUUGGAUUAGCUAGUUGGUGGGGUAAAGGCCUACCAAGGCGACGAUCCAUAGCUGGUCUGAGAGGAUGAUCAGCCACAUUGGGACUGAGACACGGCCCAAACUCCUACGGGAGGCAGCAGUGGGGAAUAUUGGACAAUGGGCGCAAGCCUGAUCCAGCCAUGCCGCGUGAGUGAUGAAGGCCUUAGGGUUGUAAAGCUCUUUCACCGAUGAAGAUAAUGACGGUAGUCGGAGAAGAAGCCCCGGCUAACUUCGUGCCAGCCGCCGCAGUAAGAC